rnacentral:rRNA from 1 species
UACGGGGGGGGCAAGCGUUGUUCGGAAUUACUGGGCGUAAAGGGCUCGUAGGCGGCCAACUAAGUCAGACGUGAAAUCCCUCGGCUUAACCGGGGAACUGCGUCUGAUACUGGCAGGCUUGAAUCCGGGAGAGGGAUGCGGAAUUCCAGGUGUAGCGGUGAAAUGCGUAGAUAUCUGGAGGAAUACCGGUGGCGAAGGCGGCAUCCUGGACCGACAUUGACGCUGAACGGCGAAAGCUAGGGGAGCAAACGGG